UAGCCUGUAGGCACAGCUGCUUCUCAGUCUGCUGCGAUUACUGAUAUUCAUGGCUCAGCCUCUCUGUUAGGAUUUUGUGGCAUUUUCUCAGGCACAGCACCCCGUAUAAAAAAGCAGGCUUAUCUUGCCACGCCGCAGGGCAGAACGAUAAGGUGCUGUGCUUCAUGGCUUCUGCCGUUUGGAGUUACGCGGUGUGCUGUGCACUACCUGGGGACCGGGGAACUGAGUACCAAGGCUGUGUUCAGGUAAUUCAUUCUGCCUAUCUACGUUAUGCUGAGGAACGGCGGUAUAAAAUCAGCGCCCUUGUACAAUUCAGUCAUUAAUUAAUUGGUUUCUUAAAGGAAAAAUUAACCAGGAGAUUCUCGAAUCGUUUUGACAGGCAGAAGAGGAGAUUUACUCGCAUUUCACCCUAUUCCCUUGGGGUCACUGGCCCUAACUCACCUUCCCCCUACAAAGUGAGGGGGCAACGUUGUCCUGCACGGCCGAGGCAUUUGGUGCAACUUCCUUUAGAAGCAGCUGCAGCAGCCUAGCAAACAACAGCCCAAGCACCGUGCAUCCUUCCCACAGUCAGUCAGCCCUCGCAGCCUCUACUAAAAGCUUUCUCAGGCCCUGGUCUCGCUCUGGGAACAGUCAGCGUUGCAGGGAGCUGGCACGGCCUCUCCAGGAGCCACAAGUGGAGCUCUGGAUGGGCCCAACUGCAGGCGGGCUGCCCCCUUAACGUCUCCACGUCCUGGAUCUCGAUAGCAGAGCUCUUCCACCGUGGCAGUGCUGAGGGAUCGAGCGCUAGGAAAUAUAGGUGCCAUCUGAACCGCGCGACACAGCCUGCUUCGAGCCUGCACCUGCCUCCUGCCAGCUCCGUGCUGGAUCCAGCAUCUCUCGGCGUACGCCAGCAUCCAAAAGCUCAGCGUGCGGGAGGGUGCUGCUCAUGUUGCUGCCCCGAUCCCAAAAGCUGCUGGGGCUGAGCAGUCCCAGGCCCACGUGAGAGCAUCCCCGCUGCCACCAGCAGCACGGCGGGACCGCACGGGGCGAGCAAGACCUCCAUAGCGCAAACAAAUCUAAACCACCCAAAU
rnacentral:lncRNA from 1 species